AUUGACCAGGGACUCGGGAAGUUUUCCCCUGAUGAGUUCCACGCACUCACCAGGGAAAAAACCAACCUCAAAGCCACGCUUGCCUCUCCACCAGGGGCUCAGCUCCUUUGGUGGCAUAUCAGUGAUGCACACCA